UACGUAGGGUGCGAGCGUUAAUCGGAAUUACUGGGCGUAAAGCGUGCGCAGGCGGUUUGCUAAGACAGGUGUGAAAUCCCCGGGCUUAACCUGGGAACUGCGCUUGUGACUGGCAGGCUAGAGUACGGCAGAGGGGGGUGGAAUUCCUGGUGUAGCAGUGAAAUGCGUAGAUAUCAGGAGGAACACCGAUGGCGAAGGCAGCCCCUGGGCCUGUACUGACGCUCAUGCACGAAAGCGUGGGGAGCAAACAGGAUUAGAUA
rnacentral:rRNA from 1 species